rnacentral:rRNA from 1 species
GUCUGGCCUGCCCACUGAUAGUUUAAAGGGCCGCGGUAUUAGGCCGUGCUAAGGUAGCAUAAUCAAUAGUCUUUUAAUUGGGGUCUAGAAUGAAAGGUUGGACGAAAAAUUAACUGUCUUGUAGAAAAAAGGAAUUUUACUUUUAAGUGAAAAGGCUUAAAUGAAAUAACGGGACGAUAAGACCCUGUGAAGCUUAAAUAAAUUUGAAAUAAAAACUUGCUAUUAAGUUAAUGGUAUUUAUUUUUGAUUAAAUUUGGCUGGGGCGGCCAGAAUAUAAAUAAUUAACUGUUUGUAGAGAAAAAAUAAAAUAAUUAGUUAAAUUAUCCUUUAAUAAGGAAAAAAAAUUAAAGUUACUCCAGGGAUAACAGCGUAAUUUUUCUUGAGAGUUCUUAUCGACAGAAAUAGUUGCGACCUCGAUGUUGAAUUAAAAUUUCGCUAAGGUGAAGAAGCUUUAGUAGUGGGUCUGUUC